UACGGAGGGUGCAAGCGUUAUCCGGAUUUACUGGGUUUAAAGGGUGCGUAGGCGGAAUGGUAAGUCCGUGGUGAAAUCCCCGAGCUUAACUUGGGAACUGCCAUGGAUACUAUCAAUCUUGAAUAUCAUGGAGGUAAGCGGAAUAUGUCAUGUAGCGGUGAAAUGCUUAGAUAUGACAUAGAACACCAAUUGCGAAGGCAGCUUACUACGCGAUUAUUGACGCUGAGGCACGAAAGCUAGGGGAGCAAACAGG
rnacentral:rRNA from 1 species